UACGUAGGGGGCAAGCGUUGUCCGGAUUCAUUGGGCGUAAAGAGCGUGUAGGCGGCCAGGUAGGUCGGUUGUGAAAACUGGAGGCUCAACCUUCAGAGGUCGACCGAAACCAUCUGGCUAGAGUCCGGGAGAGGAGAGUGGAAUUCCUGGUGUAGCGGUGAAAUGCGCAGAUAUUAGGAAGAACACCAGUGGCGAAGGCGGCUCACUGGUCCGGUACUGACGCUGAGGUGCGAAAGCGUGGGGAGCAAACAGG
rnacentral:rRNA from 1 species